rnacentral:lncRNA from 1 species
CUGAGUCAUGCGGGUUGUCAGGGAAGUGGGGGAAAGCCAGCAGUCACAGGCCUCACCCAGCUCCCACGCAAUCCAAAGGGCUGGUCUCACUCCCACAGUGCCUCCCCUAACAGCACCAAAUCUGUUUCCAGGCAGUGGGCAAGCAGGGCUGAGAAUUGCCCCAGACUACCCACCUCCCAGCUGCAAAGGAAAAGGGCUCAGUUCUUCCCCCACCUGUGGAGUCUGCAUGCUGGAUUCCCGUUCUCCCCAGAGUUCUGGCCAGGAGGCUUCUUGCCUGGUUCAAAUUGUUAUGAAGUUCAGCUGGAGACUUCCUUCUCCCUGUGGCAUUUUCCCCACACCUCUAGCUGCCCUCCUGAAGGAUCCUGGUGGUGCCAGGUCUAUGCACUGAAAAUAUGCCUGUGAAGAAAGCAAUAUUUCUGUCUCCAUGGACCUUACUAUCAAACUGGAAGAGACCAAAGAUUAAUAUACAAAUAGGUGAUAAUAGAAAGUCUGAUAUGGAUUGGUGCAAUGAAGAAAAAUAAGGUAAGUUAAGGAGAUAGAAAGUGGUGGGUGUUGUUUUAGAUAAGCUCAUCAGGGAAGGUGAUAUUAAGCAGGGAUUUGAAUGCAGAGGAGGAGAAAGUCAUUUGGAUUCUUGGGCUAAGAACAGACUAGGCAAAUGUAACAGACAGUGCAAAGAUCCUGAUGAGAGAGGGCUUGACAUGUUCAAGGAAUGACAAGAGGACUGGGAGGUAGAAGGAAGUGUGAGAUCAUAUAGGGCUUCAAGAGAGAGUCUGGAUUUUAUUCCAAGUGUGAUGGAAGCCACUGGAUGGUUUCAAGCAGAGAAAUGGUAUUUUAAAAGGCCAAACACGGCUGCUGUGUGCAAAAUAGAUUGCAGGUGGAAUCAAGAACAGCAGUCUGGAGGCCAUUGUGGUAGCUCGGGCAAGACAUGAUGGUAGCUUGGAUGUGGGUGAUCGUGAUGGAGGUAGUGAGAAGGGGUUGGAUUCAGGAUAUCUUUUUGAAGAUAGACUAGAGUGGACCUGCUGAUGGAUUGAAUGUGGGGUGUGAGGAAAGACAGCAGUCAAGGAGGACCCGGAGUUUUGUAUUUGUUCACUAGAAAACACCAGUCUGGGCAACAUAGCAAGACCCUAUCGCUACAAAAAAUAAAUUAGCUGGGUGCGGUGGUGGGUGUCUGUAGUCCCAGCUACUUGGGAGGUUGAGGUGGGAGGAUCACAUGAGUCCAGGAGAUCAAGGGUGCAGUGAGCCAUGAUCAUGCCACUGCACUCUAGCCUGAGCAACACAGUAAGAGCUUGUCUCAAAAAAAAAAAAAAAAAAAAGAAAAAAGAAACUACUAAUUUUUAUACAGGCUUGUGCAAGGCACUGGAGAAGUAAAGAAGAACAAGACACAGUUAGUGCCUUCAGGGAACUCAUGGUACUAUUUCAAAUUUCUAGACUUCUAGAGGGAAGUACAGAGUGCUGUGGAGUGGGUGGGAAGAGAACAGAUUGUUCUGUAUAUGGGCCUUAGGGAAAGUGUGAGUUUGAGUUUGAAGGGAGAAUAAGAGUCUGCUAGAUGCAGAGAGUAGGGAAGAGUAUCCCAGAAAGUGGGGUCAACAAGGGCCGAGCUCAGUGGGCUGCUGUGGGAAGGGGGAGGGGUGCAUGGGAUGGUGGUGGAAGAGGUGGAAGCUCAGAAGGCAAUUUGUGGAGAACCCUGUGUGCCAACCAAGGAGUGGGACCCUCACCCUGUAGACAAUGGGCUGCCAGUGAGAUUUUUUAAGCAGGAGAGUGAUGCUCAAUCCCUCCGUCUUACCUAAACAGAUGAGUCAACCCAGAAUACCAACAAAUAAACUACAUGUGGAUUACAACUUAUUGUGGUGUUUUAGGUUCUUUUAUCAGCAAAUUUCUAUAUUAUUUGUAUUGACAAGUAGAAGCACGCUCACUCUUAGGGUGAAGAAAUUCUACUAAUUUUGUGGCUAAUGAAUAUCGAACAUCUACUUUGUGCCAGG